UUCCUCUCGCGGCUUGACCAGGAACAGUGGCUGUGUGACUUGGAACACUAACUCCAAAGUUAUUUUUUUUAAGUUUUUUUAAAAAUAUGCAUACAAGAACGGGGGUGCAGGCCAGAGGUGCGGGGUGGGGGGUAAGAGGACCCACCAGAGACAGAGCGGGGAGCAGAACAGGCGGACGGACUGAAACCCACUGCGGAGGGGAGCAGCGGGGAGACAGGAGAGGUCUGCUCCGCCCUGUGGGGAGCUCCCUGGCUGGGGAUCGAACUCGUGCUGCAGAGGCGCAACCCCUUGCGCCGCCAGGGAGGCCCCCAAAGUUACUUUUUAAUGAGCUGGUAGUGGAAGUGGAUAUUAGGGUUUACAAUGAAGCCCCGUUACUUUCCCAAGCCUCCCCCGGGAGGGCGCGUCCUCAUACUCGACCGCAGCUGCCCUGCCAGGUCCUCACGGGGCUCCUUGGAACCCACUGGGCUCCCCAGCCCUUACCCUGAGCACCGGACAGCCCAGGACGCCUCCUUCCCCCACACGGUUAUCAAAGGUCGCCGCCCCUGGAGGAAAUCAGCCGCAGGCCCGCCAUCCCUUGCCCUGGGGCGCAGCUCUUGCUGGGGCGCGGGGGUGCACGGUCCUGCUGGGAGUGGGUCAGAGUAGAAGACCGCGGAGGUCUGGGGGGUGAGUCACAGUGGAUGUUAUGGGCAGUAAGUGACGUUGCUCAUUGGGCAGUUUCCUGGGAGACUAGAAAUGGGUCGUGCAAAAAAAUAGGAGGGGGAGGAUGUUAGCCGUCCCUGGAGGCCUCGCACGCCAGCACUGCAUGAAGGCGCUAAAUUAUCUCAGAGGCAGCAUGGGGGGUGCUAAUGCCUGGGCUCAGAGCAGAGCCCUCAGAUUGGAAGCCAGGUUCUGCCAGGUGGUUGCUGGUAACCUCUUAACAAGUUAGUUCUCUCUGCCUCAGUAAAAUAAGGACAAAACCGACCUCCUAGGGCUGUUGGGAGGAUGGGAUGUGUUCACGUUUGCAAGAUCGAAUGGGCUGGGCACGGAGUAAGUGGUUUAUGUAAAUAGGGCUCCUCUAAUCUUGCUUACAUAAUGAGGUGCUUGGUAUUUUCUGCUUUCCAUCCACUAAGGAUCACUAGGCAUGAAGAGAGCAGAAAGGAAUGCAUUUCUCCUGUGUUUGGUUAGAAGACUCGUUGCCCCCACAGAUGUCUUUCUGCGUCUUUCAUUGCCUGCACAGAAGUUGAUUUAAAGAUAAGAUCUAUUUGGUUUUUUCCCCUCCUCCUCUCGCUGGAAACCGCUUUUGGCACUUUGCUAGUUAGAAGGGUUAUGGUAUCAGCUAUACUUUCUAGCAUUUUGGUCUGUUUUUGUAGAGAAGUAGUGCAAGGAGGAAAGAUAGAGACCACUGGCAAAUGCAAGGUGGAGAACUGUGCUUCAUUUUCUGUGCUGUUCCUGUCUCUUAAUCCUAAUGCAGACUGAGCUGAACGUGAUCUUAAUUGGGCAUAGGUGACUUAGCCUUCGUGAGUGUAGCUUUUCUGUAACAAAUGCCUGCCCUUCCCCACCUGUGUGAUUUCUGUGUUCUUAGGAAUUGCAUACUUACUUCUAAUUUUAGUCUCAGUAACUUGAAUUACUGUAGUUCAUCCUAUCCAGCUGAACUGACUCUUUAAGCACUAGUUAAUAUGUUUAGAUAAUCAUUUCUGUAGAGAGAAUACUGUUCCCUAAGUGAAUAGGAAGGGAUUUGUUAAGGAAGAUGUCUGGCACUUUGACCAGCAAGUGGGUUCCCAUGAUAAAGAGAGAGGAUGAUGUGUUACGAUAUUUACGUAGCUUAUAAAUAUAGUCCUUUCUAAGUGCCAUUUUGAAGACCCUUAUUAGAUGCAAGAUAUAAACAAAAAAAAAAAACGUGUGUUAAGAAUGUGUAGGGUAAAUGAUGGUCAGGCCUUCCUGCCCUCCCGCCAUUAGGAUGGAUGAUGGCGGCACCUGGAGGAGGGCGUGGGCGUGCGUAGGUGGGUACACCUGGGCUGAGAGACUGGGCUCCUGAGGGCGGCUUCACGGGACGCCAGAGGAACUGAACGAGCAGAACCACCAGAAGGAGAACAGUGACAGACAGCGGGGACGCCCCGGGAGAAGGCCGGAGAGCCCAGAAAGAGUGAAGACUCACCGGGGGCUGGGAGACCUGCCAGCCUGCCUGCCUGUUUCGUUGUUUUAUUCACACGAUAGCGUCCACGCCAGCUGGCUGUUCGUGCUCCGCGGCGCGGCCUGGCGCUGGGGUUGGGCGUGGAUGGCCAGUUGUGCUGCGCUUUCCACGGUAGCUUUGCGGUUCUUGGAGGAGCCGCCGUGAGCGACACCAGCACGAUUUAUUUAUGGGCCUCCCCGGUGGCGCAGCGGUUGAGCGCUGGGCUACGAGGCUGCCCAUAGCCUCUGCAGCGCCGGUUCGAUCCCCAGCCGCCGGCGAGGGUCCCACAUGGCGUACAGACCUCUCCUGCUGCAUCCGCUGCUCCCCUCAGCAGUGUACUUCGUCACUCUGCCUGUUCUGCUCCCUGCUCUGGCUCUGGUGAAUUCUCUCACCCUCCCGCGCUUCUGACUGUACCCAGUGCUUGUAUAAAUAAAUAAAAAUAAAUCUUUAAAAAAAAAAAAGAAUCCUUAAAAAAAAAGAUUUAUUUAUGCAGACAAGAACUGGGGUACAGGCCAGAGAUGCGGGAGGGUGAGAGGAUUCACCAGAGACAGAGUGGGGAGCAGAACAGGUGGAUCUACCAAAAUCCACUGCUGAGGGGAGCAGCGGGGGAGACAGAAGAGGUCUGCCGCGCCAUGUGGGUAUCUCCCUGGCCUGCCGGGAACUGAACCCGCGCUGUAGAGGCUGCGGACAGCUUCACAGAGCUGCGUUCAACCCCUGCACCAUCAGGGAGGCCCAGAAUUCUUAUUUUAACUCUGAAGUGGGUGAGGUCAUUCAAUUUGCUAUUAGAAGAGGAAGUAGGAGAAGGUAACUUGAGAAAGACGUGAAGGUUUGAGAUGGGUGCUCUGAAGACGGGAGACAGCUUACUGGGUAGUAAGUACUCCUUGGGCCUAUGCUGAGCCGCCUCUGUUCUCUGCACAGGAACGUGCUGAGCAGCAUGGAGGUUGGUUGCAAUGGAAGGUCAUGAAUUUGUAAUGGCGCAGCCCACGGGUAGUGAUUUCCUCCUUCCAGCAGCCAGCAGUACUCAGCUCCUCGAGCAGGAGAAAAGAGGCAGCUGGAGUGGCAGUGACUGGAGUUUUGUGGAAUAAGGAUAAUGGAUGAACAUGGAAGUAAGGGAGCUGAGGGUCUGAGUGAAAGAGGAUUUGUGGUCCAGGUCACAUAAAGAAGGAGUAGGUAUACAAGUUGCCUUUUAUAUUGAAAAAGUAGGGAAAAUCUCUAAGAGGCUAGAGGCUCAGUGAGGUGAGAGUUGCAGAGCUCACAAUUGGAGAAAAUGACACUUUUGAGAUGAAAAUUUCAAGGGAUAGAAAGACGGAGGCGGCCAUGGGAAUGCAUGUUGAGGGUAGUUAGGUGAAGUUCAGUGGGUCUGAGGAGAGUUCAUUCUGUUCUUCUGAUUGCAAGAAGAAAAGAGGAUUUAUUGGUUUAUGUUAUUGAAUAGGCACAAGGUAGGAUGGUUCAUUUUAUUCCAGAAGUUCAGGGUAGUUUCUAAUUCUCUUGCUACUGUUUGUUUGUUAGCUUCCCGGGUCCCCUCCAGGAGCCAGAUGUGGCUCAGGUCCAGUGGUUCCGCGAUCACAAACCACAAGAGGAAGAGAGUGAGCGUCUCUUGACCACUAGACUCGAUUCUUCUCUUUGACUAGACCAACUUAGAGAAACGCACGCCCCAUCCACCCUCAAAGUAGGCGCUGUGGGCCAGGAAAUACCAGGCCUUGAUUGGCCAAGUCCUGGGGCAAGGAGGGUUGAUGAGGCCUCCAGGGAUGUGUUCCUGCCCCCGGGGGUGGCUGGACUCCAGCUAACUGGGGCGGAGUGGAAAGGGCAUGGGGAAGAAAACAGCAGUGUCCACAAUGAGGAACUGUGCUGCUGUUUAUUGAAUGACUCACUGUGUACACUGAAGCCAACAGAACAAUAGCAGCGGUCAGGGCGCCAGACCCUUCAGUAAAUGCUGCGCGUCCACGUAGGAAGGAAUGGCAGCGCUGAGAGAAGGCAGAGAGAGUCUACCAGGUGGGCAUCAUUUCCAAAACAACUGAGAUUUUUACUGACAGUAACAAUUGGGAAACAGGAUUGGGGCCCCAAAACAAUGCAGAUCCCACCUCCCAGAAUAGUAUAUGAAAUUCAGAAACAUUCGCCGCUAGAGGUUGCACUAGGUGAAUAAGGUCUCCUGGGAGGUGAGCCAGGUUUCAGGGGAGGCCAGAGUGAGCUUUGUAUAAAUAUGGGUACAGACAGUAGCAUGGGCAUGGGUGGGAAGUGUCACGUAGAACUAGGUUUGCAGAAAGGUUUGAGAGGGAGGGAGAGGAGCCGAGGAGAGAGUCAGGGCAGUCAGCGAGCCCUGGGAUUCCCUGUACCUUCCUUAUGUUCAAUUAUGUGUCGUAUUAAUAGUUAUUCAUGCGCCUGAUCACUGUUCCUUCCUGGAUUUUGAGUUCUUUAGGACAUUUUUUUUAAAGAUUGAUUUAUGCAUGUAAGAGCUGGGGUACAGGCCAGAGGUGUGGGGAGUGAGAGGAUUCACCAGAGACAGAGUGGGGAGCAGAACCGGUAGAUUGAAAUACACUGCAGACUUAACCCCUGCACCUCUAGGGAGGCCCUGCAAUGGUCUCAGUGUCUGCAACCACAGUAGAUUGCGACCACCAAUUAAAACUGAUGUGAUUCAGGCCUCCCUGGUGGCACAAGGGGUUAAGAUGCAGCACUAAGAAGCUGUCUGCAGCCACUGCAGCAAGAGUUCCAUCCCCGGCCAGGGAGCUGACCCACAUGGUGCGGCAGACCUCUCCUGUCUCCCCACUGCUCCCCUCAGCAGUGGAUUUCAGUAGAUCUGCCUGUUCUGCUCCCCACUCUGUCUCUGGUAAACACCCCCACCCACUCUGGCCUGCACACCAGUUCUUGUAUGCAUAAAUAAACCUUCAAAAAAACAACAAUAGCACACAUUUGAUGGGGAGACUGGAUUCCCUGUCCCUAAGGAAGAGAGACACAGGCGGCUGAGUAGAAUGUGGCUGAGCAUGUUUCCGAUACAGUGGAAUGGCAGAGUUUUGCAAGAUGAAGAGACUCAGUUCUAGUCAGUGAGUGAACAGCCAAGGCACUUGGACAAAAAACGACCCGGCUGGCCCGAGUCCUCCACGACUGCGGCACAGGUUAGAAGUUGGUCUCGGCUACUUGAAGGGGGAGACGUGUCCCCCCGUCCCAGAGUGAGUCACGAGGCUGCCCCGUCACCGCGGCAGGUGCAGCUUUCAGGACAGGCUUGAGGAGGGUGGGAGGCACCUGGACGAGGGGCCGGGCCGCGCCGCCCGCGCAGCUCCCCACCCACGGCUUUCCUGCCCGGCUGUUCCCAGUAGGGGAGACUGUCCAGUGAAAGAAAAAAUACUCCCAAAAGCUGUAUUUGGCAUAAGCUGAUGCCACUGCUAGUGCUGCCAGUGGCCAGGCACAGGCGCGGAAGGCCCUGAGGAGUUGGGAGGACGGGAGAAAGGGCGCAGGCAGGUGGGAGCGGCCAGCUCAGGCCCCUGCUCCAGAGCCCGGGAGGGUAAAGGCUGUGCAGUUUCUUUGGCUAGGUCAGAGACCCCAUGUGGGCCUGGGAGGUGAGCGGGCUGAGGGGCGCAGGCUCCCCCAGGAGCCUUAGCUUUAGGCUCAUUCACAUUGAGGCGGUGAUGCAGCGAGAGGCAAGGCAAGGUGACAGCAUCAGGCUGGUAACCCCUGGCUCCUAGGAGCUGCCCUUCUCCUUGUCAUCGGUGAGGUCAUACCUGCGAGGACAAGCAGAGAAGGCCCACACACAGGUGAUUCCGCGUCCUCUUGUCAACGAGGCACGACCCGAGGGCUUGUAUCCUUCCGUCCCUCCCGUGACCGCCCCAGUGUCCAGGCCCGCCCGGCCCGUCAGACACUCACCACUGGGCCGCGCCCUGGGAAAGGUCUAUCUCCGCGAGGUCCAGCUGCACCUGUGCGUAGAGGGCGGGAGGGACGAGGGGUUGUUUUCUCCCAAGACCACAUCCACUAUCAGCCCCACCCCACCCCACCCCCGGUCCCAAGCCAGUGCGGAGGGGAGUCCGCCUGAAAGCUGUGUCGCUCAGCUGCGUCCUCCCUGGUGGGGCCACAGCCCUGGUUCCGGCAACUUCAUUUAUUCACUUAUUCAUUUAUUUAUACAAGCACUGGGAAGCGCGGGAGGGUGAGAGAAUUCACCAGAGCCAGAGUGGGGAGCAGAGCAGGCAGAAGGACUGAAGCACACUGCUGAGGGGAGCAGCGGGCAGCGUGUGGGACCCUCCUCCGGUGGCCAGGGAGCAGCCGGGGAUCGAAACGGCCACAGGCGGCCCUGCAACCCAGCGCUCAACCGCUGAGCCACUGGGGAGGCCCAGGAGGUCUGCGCGCCAUCGUGGG